GACGAACCGUGCGAACGUUGUUCGGAUUCACUGGGCUUAAAGGGCGCGUAGGCGGGUUUUCAAGUCCGGGGUGAAAUCCUCUCGCUCAACGAGAGAACUGCCUUGGAUACUGAGGACCUCGAGGGAGGUAGGGGCAUGUGGAACUUCCGGUGGAGCGGUGAAAUGCGUAGAUAUCGGAAGGAACGCCGGUGGCGAAAGCGACGUGCUGGACCUCUUCUGACGCUGAGGCGCGAAAGCCAGGGGAGCGAAC
rnacentral:rRNA from 1 species